GGUGUUGAGUGAGUGGGUGGAGCUGAGUGUGUAGUAGAGAGGAUAGUAGAGAGGAGAGCUGAAACUCAGUGUGUUCUUCUCCCAGUGUGUGCUACACCACCAUGAUCAUUUUCACUGUACUGCUGCUCUCUGCUCUUACAGGUAACAGAGCUGAAGACGUCAUCACUCCUAGCAGAGAUGCUGUUUUUGCUGUUGAAGGUCAGAAUGUUUCCCUCUCCUGUAACUACACUGUAAGUGCUGAUAGUCUUCACUGGUAUCGACAGUAUUCAGGCUCUCCUCCCCAGUUCCUCAUACUGGAUUAUUCAGGGACCACUAUUAAUGCUCAACCUCCAGUUCCUGGAAUAUUCAUCAUCCAUCACAAAGGAAUAAAAAAAGUGGAUCUGGAGAUCUCCUCUACUGCAGUAUCAGACUCUGCUCUCUACUACUGUGCUCUGAGGCCCACAGUGACAGGAAACCCACCAAACACUGUACUAAAACCUUUCUUGUGA